rnacentral:rRNA from 1 species
UACAGAGGCCCCAAGCGUUGUUCGGAUUCACUGGGCGUAAAGGGUGCGUAGGCGGUCGGGUAAGUCUGAUGUGAAAUCUCACAGCUUAACUGUGGAACUGCAUUGGAUACUACCCGGCUAGAGGAAUGGAGGGGAGACUGGAAUACUUGGUGUAGCAGUGAAAUGCGUAGAUAUCAAGUGGAACACCAGUGGCGAAGGCGAGUCUCUGGACAUUUCCUGACGCUGAGGCACGAAAGCCAGGGGAGCAAACGGG